rnacentral:rRNA from 1 species
GACGAACGCUGGCGGCGUGCUUAACACAUGCAAGUCGAACGGAAAGGCCUCUUUCGGGGGGUACUCGAGUGGCGAACGGGUGAGUAACACGUGAGUAACCUGCCCUUGACUUUGGGAUAACUUCAGGAAACUGGGGCUAAUACCGGAUAGGAGCUCCUGCUGCAUGGUGGGGGUUGGAAAGUUUCGGCGGUUGGGGAUGGACUCGCGGCUUAUCAGCUUGUUGGUGGGGUAGUGGCUUACCAAGGCUUUGACGGGUAGCCGGCCUGAGAGGGUGACCGGCCACAUUGGGACUGAGAUACGACCCAGACGCCUACGGGAGGCAGCAGUGGGGAAUAUUGCACAAUGGGUGGAAGCCUGAUGCAGCAACGCCGUGUGCGGGAUGACGGCCUUCGGGUUGUAAACCGCUUUCGCUCAUGACGAAGCUUUGUGUGACGGUAGUGGGUAAAGAAGCACCGGCUAACUACGUG